GGUCCCGUAGUGUAGCGGUAAACACCCUGGACUUUGAAUCUAGUGACAGGAAUUAGAAUCUCGCAGUGACCU
rnacentral:tRNA from 1 species